rnacentral:rRNA from 1 species
AGGAAUUGGCGGGGGAGCACCACAACAGGUGGAGCCUGCGGUUUAAUUGGACUCAACGCCGGGAAGCUCACCGGAUAGGACAGCAGAAUGAUUGCCGGGCUGAAGACUCUGCAUGACUAGCUGAGAGGAGGUGCAUGGCCGUCGUCAGUUCGUACUGUGAAGCAUCCUGUUAAGUCAGGCAACGAGCGAGACCCACGCCAACAGUUGCCAGCACGAUCCCCGGAUCGGUGGGGACACUGUUGGGACCGCCUCUGCUAAAGAGGAGGAAGGAAUGGGCAACGGUAGGUCAGCAUGCCCCGAAUUAUCCGGGCUACACGCGGGCUACAAUGGGCAGGACAAUGGGUAUCGACGCCGAAAGGCGAAGGCAAUCUCCUAAACCUGUCCGUAGUUCGGAUUGUGGGCUGUAACUCGCCCACAUGAAGCUGGAAUCUGUAGUAAUCGCGUUUCAAAAUAGCGCGGUGAAUAUGUCCCUGCUCCUUGCACACACCGCCCGU